rnacentral:rRNA from 1 species
CCUACGGGUGGCUGCAGUAGGGAAUAUUGCUCAAUGGGGGAAACCCUGAAGCAGCAACGCCGCGUGGAGGAUGACGGUUUUAGGAUUGUAAACUCCUUUUGUUAGAGAAGAUUAUGACGGUAUCUAACGAAUAAGCACCGGCUAACUCCGUGCCAGCAGCCGCGGUAAUACGGAGGGUGCAAGCGUUACUCGGAAUCACUGGGCGUAAAGAGUGCGUAGGCGGGGUAAUAAGUCAGAUGUGAAAUUCUGUAGAUUAACUACAGAACUGCAGUUGAAACUGUUGCUCUGGAGUGUGGGAGGGGUAGGUGGAAUUCUUGGUGUAGGGGUAAAAUCCGUAGAGAUCAAGAGGAACACUCAUUGCGAAGGCGACCGGCUGGAGCAUGACUGACGCUGAGGCACGAAAGCGUGGGGAGCAAACAGGAUUAGAUACCCCUGUAGUC